rnacentral:ncRNA from 1 species
AUGUGACAAAGGCAAACCCGUUGAAAAACGGGGACGUAAAGCUAAAGGGGCUAAUACUACUUUUUAGUUAUGCCAGCCAGUUGCCGAU